GAAAGAUGUCCAUGCUAAGCUUGGUGAUAAUAGAUAUGAAUGCAUCAAACAUGCCGUAGGUGUAGAGGGCAUAACGGCUGAUACACUGAGAGAUGCUGUGACGGAUAACUUCAUAUGCACUGGUGGUCGGGAACCUUUCAGAGAUCAUAUUGCAUGUACCGGUGACUCUGGAGGUGCUGUGUAUAAAAACUUUCAACAACGCACAAUACAGGUCGCAUUGGUCAGCUGGGGAAGCCAGCAAGUGUGCACAGCCAGUGGUGUUACAGAAUCAACGCCAAACUCCAGAGACUUUCACAUUAAUCUCUUCAGAGUUAUCCCUUUCC